UUAAAAACGAAAGCAAAAAAAGUUGUUGCUGAAUCUAAAAAGAAUAUUUUGGGUACUGGCGGUGGUCCAUCAAAUAAUGAUCACAUAGAUCCAGUCAUACAAGCAGUUUUGAAUAUUUUAAAUUCUAAGUUAGUGGCUGGACUUAAACCACAACAUGAUUGUGAUACUGAUGUGGUUUGUGUAAGUGAGUCACAACCAUCGACCCCCAGUGAGCCACAACCAUCGACCCCCAGUGAGCCACAACCAUCAACCUCCAGUGGGCCACAGCCAUCGACCCCCUGUGAGCCACAAUCAUCGACCUCCAGUGGACCACAACCAUCGACCUCCAGGGAUCAACAGUCAUUGACUGGAUUCACUAUUAUUCCCGUUUCGCCACCAUACAUUAUUCAGCUCGACCAGAAAGAAAAGGAAGGAAGUACUGACAAUCCUGAAACACCAAAUACAAAUUUGCCAGUGGUAGAAAAACAAUUAGAAAGUGAAUGUAAAAGGAAAACCGAAGACUGGAGCAAUUAUACUCCUACAAAAUUGAAAAA